rnacentral:tRNA from 1 species
AAUGGUAGGACAUGGGACUUUGGAUCCCAGUAUCAUGGUUCGAAUCCAUGUCCCGCAG